rnacentral:rRNA from 1 species
AUUGAACGCUGGCGGCAGGCCUAACGCAUGCAAGUCGAGCGGAUGAAGGGAGCUUGCUCCUGGAUUCAGCGGCGGACGGGUGAGUAAUGCCUAGGAAUCUGCCUGGUAGUGGGGGAUAACGUCCGGAAACGGGCGCUAAUACCGCAUACGUCCUUAGGGAGAAAGUGGGGGAUCUUCGGACCUCACGCUAUCAGAUGAGCCUAGGUCGGAUUAGCUAGUUGGUGGGGUAAAGGCCUACCAAGGCGACGAUCCGUAACUGGUCUGAGAGGAUGAUCAGUCACACUGGAACUGAGACACGGUCCAGACUCCUACGGGAGGCAGCAGUGGGGAAUAUUGGACAAUGGGCGAAAGCCUGAUCCAGCAAUGCCGCGUGUGUGAAGAAGGUCUUCGGAUUGUAAAGCACUUUAAGUUGGGAGGAAGGGCGGUAAGUUAAUACCUUGCUGUUUUGACGUUACCAACAGAAUAAGCAACGGCUAACUUCGUG